rnacentral:misc_RNA from 1 species
GGGUGCUGGGGAGGUUGGU